UCGUCACACUAUCAUUAACUGAAUCCAUAGGUUAAUGAGGCGAACCGGGGGAACUGAAACAUCUAAGUACCCCGAGGAAAAGAAAUCAACCGAGAUUCCCCCAGUAGCGGCGAGCGAACGGGGAGGAGCCCAGAGCCUGAAUCAGCAUGUGUGUUAGUGGAAGCGUCUGGAAAGGCGCGCGAUACAGGGUGACAGCCCCGUACACAAAAGCGCAUGUGCUGUGAGCUCGAUGAGUAGGGCGGGACACGUGGUAUCCUGUCUGAAUAUGGGGGGACCAUCCUCCAAGGCUAAAUACUCCUGACUGACCGAUAGUGAACCAGUACCGUGAGGGAAAGGCGAAAAGAACCCCGGCGAGGGGAGUGAAAAAGAACCUGAAACCGUGUACGUACAAGCAGUGGGAGCACCCUUUGGGGUGUGACUGCGUACCUUUUGUAUAAUGGGUCAGCGACUUAUAUUCUGUAGCAAGGUUAACCGAAUAGGGGAGCCG
rnacentral:rRNA from 1 species